rnacentral:rRNA from 1 species
AGUGAACGCUGGCGGUAGGCCUAACACAUGCAAGUCGAACGGCAGCACAGUAAGAGCUUGCUCUUACGGGUGGCGAGUGGCGGACGGGUGAGGAAUACAUCGGAAUCUACUUUUUCGUGGGGGAUAACGUAGGGAAACUUACGCUAAUACCGCAUACGACCUACGGGUGAAAGCAGGGGAUCUUCGGACCUUGCGCGAUUGAAUGAGCCGAUGUCGGAUUAGCUAGUUGGCGGGGUAAAGGCCCACCAAGGCGACGAUCCGUAGCUGGUCUGAGAGGAUGAUCCGCCACACUGGAACUGAGACACGGUCCAGACUCCUAAGGGAGGCAGGAGUGGGGAAUUUUGGGCAAUGGGCGGAAGCCUGAAUCAGCCAAGCCGCGUGGGUGAAGAAGGCCUUCGGGUUGUAAAGCCCUUUUGUUGGGAAAGAAAAGCAGCAGGUUAAUACCCCGCUGUUCUGACGGUACCCAAAGAAUAAGCACCGGCUAACUUCGUG